AUUGAACGCUGGCGGCAGGCCUAAUACAUGCAAGUCGAACGAGUGGCGGACGGGUGAGUAAUGUCUGGGAAACUGCCCGAUGGAGGGGGAUAACUACUGGAAACGGUAGCUAAUACCGCAUACCAUCGAUGGGGCCAAGAUGGGAUUGGCUAGUAGGUGGGGUAACGGCUCACCUAGGCGACGACCCCUACCUGGUCUGAGAGGAUGACCAGCCACACUGGAACUGAGACACGGUCCAGACUCCUACGGGAGGCAGCAGUGGGGAAUAUUGCACAAUGGGCGCAAGCCUGAUGCAGCCAGGCCGCGUGUAUGAAGAAGGCCUUCGGGUUGUAAAGUACUUUCAGCGAGGAGGCGUUACUCGCAGAAGAAGCACCGGCUAACUCCGUGCCAGCAGCCGCGGUAAUAC
rnacentral:rRNA from 1 species